AGUUUUAUAGUUUAAAAAAAAUUUUAAAUUGCAAGUUUGAAGAUUUUAGUUAUAAAUAAAACUU
rnacentral:tRNA from 1 species